AUGCAGGAGGUGAAAAUUCAUUGUCUAAUCUGUUUCUCAGUUUCCUCUUUCAGAAACGAGAGAUUUUUCAAGACCUUGCUCCACUGCUGUGGCACUCCUUUGGCACUGUUGCUGCACUGCUCCAGGAGAUUGUGUCAAUUUACCCUUCACUUUCACCUCCUACUUUGUCGCCAGUUGCAUCAAACCGUGUCUGCAAUGCACUUGCACUUCUUCAGUGUGUUGCUUCACACCCUGAGACCAGGAUCCCGUUCUUGA
rnacentral:rRNA from 1 species